rnacentral:tmRNA from 1 species
GGGGCUGAUUAGGAUUCGACAGGAUCUAGGAAGCCGGAGGUGCAUGCAGAGGAGCGGUUUGCCUCUUAAAAAGCCGCAUUUAAAUAGUCGCAAACGACGAAACUUACGCACUAGCCGCUUAAUAACCGGCAUAGGCCCUUCCACCCUAGUCUUUUCCUGCUAGCGGGGAUUCGGAAGGUCAUCCAAGUAGGAUAGCGAGGGAACCUUG